rnacentral:rRNA from 1 species
UACGUAGGGUGCAAGCGUUGUCCGGAUUUAUUGGGCUUAAAGCGCACGUAGGCGGUCUGCCAAGUUCUGAGUGACAGUUUCCGGCUUAACCGGAAAAGGUCUUCGAAAACUGGUGGACUUGAGGACUUGAGGGGGAGACGGAAUUCCGGGUGGAGCGGUGAAAUUCGUAGAUAUUCGCAGGAACACCAGUGGCGAAGGCGACUUGCUGGGCUUGUGGUGACGCUGAGACGCGAAAGCGUGGGGAGCAAACAGG